UAGGAUAUAAGACAUUCUCUGUCAACCUC
rnacentral:piRNA from 1 species